rnacentral:lncRNA from 1 species
UCUCCUCUGCUGAGCCCUUGAUUUUUCACUGUUGCCUAACCUCCUCUCUGAUUUGAUCAUCAGAGGAUCCCGUCGAAGAUAUCUCUGAUCUAUAAAGAUUUUUUUGUAGGUGCACAUCACCGAUGAUCGGACGAUGGAGGGAUUGGCCGCAACAGCUCUUUGACUGUGCGAUGGCUUCUCCAACGAGUCACGACAUUUUCGAUAAUGGAAGGUCCAAUAAAGGCAUUCAGCUUGAUUCGAUGGGGGUUUCAGCGGUCUAAAAGGAUAAAUCAAAAUUUGGGAAUGCCUACCUCAGCUCCUUUCUCAGGUGGUGAUGCAUCAACCAACAUUCGUUAGGAAGUCAGAGAGGGUCUCCCCCUCUUAGGUUGGCCAUUUCACUCAAGGGUAAUCCCUCAGGCUCAACGUCACAAGUAAGAAAUUCAUCUGUGGAUUCGAACCGCCCUUCAUCCCAAGUUGUCCAAGGCUAGAGGAGGUUUUGCUGAAACAUGGCUAGAACUUCCAAUGCCAAAUUGAGCAGCUGGAGCAAAGGUUUUCUAAGGUGGUUCAAUUCAUACAGGAGGAAAUCCAACCAUCAUCAUAGCACUUGCGCUCAGCCUUGAUUGGUAAGUUCCUAGAUAAGGAUUUUCUUCUUGAAUUUAUUAAGAAAGAAUUGCAUAGACGAUGGAGUGUGCAAGAUGAAUUUUAUGUCUCUGCCUUCUCUGAGGGGUUACUUUUAUUCCAAUGCCCUUCGGAGGAGGUAAAAGUUUGGAUCCUUGAAAAAUAUCCAUGAUCUUUGACUGGACAACUGCUUAUCUUAGAACCAUUGAGACCAAAAUUCCGGCCUAGCUGUGAUACAAUUACUCAACUGCGGGUUUGGCUGCAGCUACUAGACUUGCCUUUGGAGUUGUGGGAGGCAAGAAAAAUUUUAAAAAUUGCAUCAGUUGUUGGUACUCGUUUGUUUCUAGAUGAAUGGACUUUAAAUUCUUCAGGUAUGGGGUACGCUUGAGUUUGUGCCUUGAUGGAUCUUAAUAAAUCAGUGUGCCUAGCAGUGAGAAUUCAAGUUCAUGAUGAGAUUCUCUAGCAACAAUUUAUAUAUAAGGAAUUGUCAAAUAUUUGUUAUGCUUGUGGUCGAAUUGGGGUUCCUCAGGAGGUCUGUGACUGUUUGGUUGGGGUGGAGAGGGGCUUGCUCUCUUUGGCCUGGAUUUGAGCAUCACGGGUAUCAUUAGUCCAAACGACUCAAUCACAAGUAAGAACAAAUUCUCCACCCUCUACUCCUCAUGAUGGACAAAUAACAAAUGAAUAGCUACAGUCAAAAAAGCCAAUCAAAUGCUCUCCGAUGUCAAGUAUAAAUAGAGUAUCUGAUAUGUAUCAGUCCAAUUCUAAAUUUUGUCGCUUCAUUAAUGUGAUAUCUGAACAUUUGCAGGAGCCCUACAACAUAGAAAUUAUACUCUAUGAUGUUUCGUGCAAACUCAAUUAUUAUUAUUUUUUUUUGGUAAAGAACUAACACAGAGAUAGAAAAAGAUAAACAUAAAUGACCUUCAGCAAAACAGCAAAACCGUUCCAACUCAACUUCCCUGCUGCAAGCUAAAAUAAGGAUCUGAAUAGAGGAGAGGGGUUGAUGUCAUUCGCUCGGGUGUUAAAACCAACUCUUUAGUAGUUAAGAUAUGAAAAUUGGUAAAUAUUCUAAUCUCUAAGUCAUUUAAUGUUCACAGGCAAUUGGAGGGUAGCUCUGAAGAGUUUCAUCAAGUGUCUUAAAGUACUCCUUCAGACAUGCAAAUCAUCAAAUCUCGUGGGGAGUUUGCCAACACCUUUGGAUUAUUUUAUGUGAUAAUCUUUUUCCUAACUCUUUAGUUAGUGUGCCUGUGAUUUAGGACGAUGUGGCAAUAUCUAAGUCUAAUAAUGGGGUUGACUUGAGUCCGAUAGAUCAACACCAGGAUCCUUCGCCUUAAAGAUGCUAGUCUAGAAUUGUCAAGAUGCGGCAAAGCCCCCUUUUGUAAAUUAUAC